rnacentral:rRNA from 2 species
AUAACUUUCAACAACGGAUCUCUUGGCUCUCGCAUCGAUGAAGAACGCAGCGAAAUGCGAUAAGUAAUGUGAAUUGCAGAAUUCAGUGAAUCAUCGAAUCUUUGAACGCAUCUUGCGCUCCUUGGUAUUCCAUGGAGCAUGCCUGUUUGAGUGUCAUUAAA